rnacentral:rRNA from 1 species
GACGGACGGUGCAAGCGUUGCUCGGAAUCACUGGGCGUAAAGGGUGCGUAGGCGGCUUGGUAAGUUGGGUGUGAAAGCCCCGGGCUCAGCCCGGGAAGGGCACUCGAAACUGCCGAGCUGGAGUGCCGGAGGGGAGAGUGGAAUUCCUGGUGUAGCGGUGAAAUGCGCAGAUAUCAGGAGGAACACCAAUGGCGAAGGCAGCUCGCUGGGACGGUACUGACGCUGAGACGCGAAAGCGUGGGGAGCAAACAGG